GAGGGCCUCGCGGCCUAUCAGCUUGUUGGUGGGGUAACGGCCUACCAAGGCUCCGACGGGUAGCUGGUCUGAGAGGACGACCAGCCACACUGGGACUGAGACACGGCCCAGACUCCUACGGGAGGCAGCAGUGGGGAAUCUUGCGCAAUGGGCGAAAGCCUGACGCAGCAACGCCGCGUGCGGGACGAAGGCCUUCGGGUUGUAAACCGCUUUCAGCAGGGACGAACAUGACGGUACCUGCAGAAGAAGCCCCGGCCAACUACGUGCCAGCAGCCGCGGUAAUACGUAGGGGGCGAGCGUUGUCCGGAUUUAUUGGGCGUAAAGAGCUCGUAGGCGGUUUGGCAAGUCGGGUGUGAAAACUCCGGGCUCAACUCGGAGACGCCACUCGAUACUGCUAUGACUCGAGUCCGGUAGGGGAGUGCGGAAUUCCUGGUGUAGCGGUGAAAUGCGCAGAUAUCAGGAGGAACACCGGUGGCGAAGGCGGCACUCUGGGCCGGAACUGACGCUGAGGAGCGAAAGCGUGGGGAGCGAACAGGAUUAGAUACCCUGGUAGUCCACGCCGUAAACGUUGGGCACUAGGUGU
rnacentral:rRNA from 1 species